AUGGUCUCGGUGGCGGUGAUCUGAAAUCACCUCUGGCUCCAUAUCGCUCGAUUUCACCAUGGGCACUGCCGCCGCCGCCGCCGCCGCCGGCGGCACUGCCGCCUUUCCGGUCAAAUAGCAUCAGUUCAAGUCUUUGAUCUAAAUACAUAGCAUAAGUCCUAACAAACGCAGAAUGAUCCCAAGAACUGGAGUGCGCUUCAUCUCUAAAAUCGGACAUGUUCAAAAGUCUAGUUCCUCUCCUCGUAGCAUACAAAAUCCC
rnacentral:misc_RNA from 1 species